AUAAGGAGCUUGCUCCUUUGACGUUAGCGGCGGACGGGUGAGUAACACGUGGGUAACCUACCUAUAAGACUGGGAUAACUUCGGGAAACCGGAGCUAAUACCGGAUAACAUUUGGAACCGCAUGGUUCUAAAGUGAAAGAUGGUUUUGCUAUCACUUAUAGAUGGACCCGCGCCGUAUUAGCUAGUUGGUAAGGUAACGGCUUACCAAGGCGACGAUACGUAGCCGACCUGAGAGGGUGAUCGGCCACACUGGAACUGAGACACGGUCCAGACUCCUACGGGAGGCAGCAGUAGGGAAUCUUCCGCAAUGGGCGAAAGCCUGACGGAGCAACGCCGCGUGAGUGAUGAAGGGUUUCGGCUCGUAAAACUCUGUUAUUAGGGAAGAACAAACGUGUAAGUAACUGUGCACGUCUUGACGGUACCUAAUCAGAAAGCCACGGCUAACUACGUGCCAGCAGCCGCGGUAAUACGUAGGUGGCAAGCGUUAUCCGGAAUUAUUGGGCGUAAAGCGCGCGUAGGCGGUUUCUUAAGUCUGAUGUGAAAGCCCACGGCUCAACCGUGGAGGGUCAUUGGAAACUGGGAAACUUGAGUGCAGAAGAGGAAAGUGGAAUUCCAUGUGUAGCGGUGAAAUGCGCAGAGAUAUGGAGGAACACCAGUGGCGAAGGCGACUUUCUGGUCUGUAACUGACGCUGAUGUGCGAAAGCGUGGGGAUCAAACAGGAUUAGAUACCCUGGUAGUCCACGCCGUAAACGAUGAGUGCUAAGUGUUAGGGGGUUUCCGCCCCUUAGUGCUGCAGCUAACGCAUUAAGCACUCCGCCUGGGGAGUACGACCGCAAGGUUGAAACUCAAAGGAAUUGACGGGGACCCGCACAAGCGGUGGAGCAUGUGGUUUAAUUCGAAGCAACGCGAAGAACCUUACCAAAUCUUGACAUCCUUUGAAAACUCUAGAGAUAGAGCCUUCCCCUUCGGGGGACAAAGUGACAGGUGGUGCAUGGUUGUCGUCAGCUCGUGUCGUGAGAUGUUGGGUUAAGUCCCGCAACGAGCGCAACCCUUAAGCUUAGUUGCCAUCAUUAAGUUGGGCACUCUAGGUUGACUGCCGGUGACAAACCGGAGGAAGGUGGGGAUGACGUCAAAUCAUCAUGCCCCUUAUGAUUUGGGCUACACACGUGCUACAAUGGACAAUACAAAGGGCAGCUAAACCGCGAGGUCAUGCAAAUCCCAUAAAGUUGUUCUCAGUUCGGAUUGUAGUCUGCAACUCGACUACAUGAAGCUGGAAUCGCUAGUAAUCGUAGAUCAGCAUGCUACGGUGAAUACGUUCCCGGGUCUUGUACACACCGCCCGUCACACCACGAGAGUUUGUAACACCCGAAGCCGGUGGAGUAACCAUUU
rnacentral:rRNA from 1 species